UUUUUUUGCUCGCUCACUUGCUCUGUAGCGCUACGGAUCUGCCUGCGGUCGGGCGCCUGCCUGCCUUAUAUCUCGCCGGCCGCCUGCAUAGCUAAUGAGAUGCAAAUGAGCAGCCCCCCAAUCUGGCGAGAGCGGCCACAAAGGAACCACUUUUCCAAGCCCUCCUCUCAAUGGAUCGCCAAAUGGGGACGGUCACACACAAGAAACCCACGACCGACCUCUCUUCCACUCACGUCUGAACGUUAUAAGCGCAGGAGAAACUCAGGCUCCCGCAGGAAAACAAGCCGAGACUCAGAACGUCUUAAAAGGAAUUCUGGUUGCCUCAUAUGCUUCAGGAAAAGAAGAGCGAUCCAAAGCUGACAUUGGAUACUGACACAAAGGCAGGUGAGAAGGAGACUAUGUGUUUUGUUGGAGAUUUAAGUUGACUGAGAGGUUGGUGGGCAGACACAUUUCUAUCCCACUCUUUCCCCAAGGGACUUAAGGGUGACAUAUGUGGGAUUCCUUUCCCCUUCCCAACAACCUUGAGAGGUAGGUUAGACUGAGCUAAUAACAGACUCAAGGCUAUUUGGCCAUCUUUAUAUUUCAGCAGGAAUUUGAACCUGCUGUUGCUGAGGUAUCCCACAAGACAAGACAAGCUAACCAACAGAGAACUAACAUGAAAGAGAAUACUAGUGUAAAGCAUAAGCACAGCUGCUGGAGCACGAAACCUGAAUGCAGUAAAUAAUUGAACGAGUCACACAAGGUGUGUGCGAGUUUUCACAGACACAGGCAGCAAAUUCUCAGCUACAGAGACACACAAGGCUUUUUUCUUUUCUUUUUGCAGUGUAUGUAUUCUUAAAUACACUAGUGGAAAUAAUCUCACUGACCAUGACCUGUUUAGAACUGGCACACAUGUCACCUGGGCAGUUUAAGGGGAGGAAGGAGAUGAUGACGUAUCAUUUUGAAACAAUCGGUUGAAAAACUUGAAUGCUCCCAUUUAAAUCCAGAGUGACGUUUAGAUGCAUCUUUCUCCAGAUGUAUAUUCAUCACACACAUUAUGGUUUUAUACGGUUUAUUCUGGAUCUGGUUGGUUUGCACAUGCGAGAGCUCCUCUCUCCUUCGGCCCAGUCCCACAAACUGGAAGAAAAUUGCAAUAAUGGUGCUGCAGCUUUUUGCUUCCAGGAAGCUGCUUAUAGAUUUCCAGAAGUCAUUCCAACUUCUGGACAGCAACCAAGAGGAAUGGACAGGUGUGGACAAGAGGACAGUAAGAUGCUGUUCCAUAAUGCCCUGCCUUCCCCCAUUCCUCUGUACUGCACUUUCUUUGGGAACCACAAAUGAGAUGAAGUACAAUGUGUAUGUGCAUAUAUCACCACCAGCUUGAGCUAUUUAACCAAUGCAUUCUCUUGCCAACCGUCAGGCUGGAGUGCAAUCUACUUUUUUUAUUUUUUUUAAAGACUUCUCAAGCCUCAUUCCCAUUCAUGUCUUGCGCAAGAGAAGCUCCCUAUAGUUUUUUCUAAGGCAUUUGCCAACAUUGUGAGUGAGGAGGGAGGGAGAGAAGGAGCGGGUGAUGGAAUUCUCCCUUUGCUGGAUUUGCAGAUUUAGGAUCCACUGUAGAUUGAGCUUGGAAAGGAGAGCGGGGAGGGGGGAUUUCGCUCAUUUACAUUCCUGUUUUGGAAGGAGUGGGAAUCAAAAGUUAAACACGCGCAGCGGCUGAAACCCUUCCCUUUCCCCUGGAUUGCCCCACCCUUCCCCAAAGGACCCCCAAAAUCUCUCCGAAUCUUUUUAACCACCCUCCCUUCGCUCUCAAGGAUUUGUUAAACUGACGCGGCGCAGAUUUCUCGAUUAGGCCCGCAAAGCGGAACUGAAAGGCGUCGUAAAAUCCGUCAGAAUCCUGCCCAAAGCGCUUAUUCUCUUCCAACUUAAUUUAUGCCACGCGAUUCUGUAUCGGGGAAAUCAAGCAGAAAGUUCCUUUUCUUGACUCUCCCCUCC